GACGAACGCUGGCGGCGUGCCUAAUACAUGCAAGUAGAACGCUGAAGAGAGGAGCUUGCUCUUCUUGGAUGAGUUGCGAACGGGUGAGUAACGCGUAGGUAACCUGCCUUGUAGCGGGGGAUAACUAUUGGAAACGAUAGCUAAUACCGCAUAACAAUGGAUGACUUAUGUCAUUUAUUUGAAAGGGGCAAAUGCUCCACUACAAGAUGGACCUGCGUUGUAUUAGCUAGUAGGUGGGGUAACGGCUCACCUAGGCGACGAUACAUAGCCGACCUGAGAGGGUGAUCGGCCACACUGGGACUGAGACACGGCCCAGACUCCUACGGGAGGCAGCAGUAGGGAAUCUUCGGCAAUGGGGGCAACCCUGACCGAGCAACGCCGCGUGAGUGAAGAAGGUUUUCGGAUCGUAAAGCUCUGUUGUAAGUCAAGAACGAGUGUGAGAGUGGAAAGUUCACACUGUGACGGUAGCUUACCAGAAAGGGACGGCUAACUACGUGCCAGCAGCCGCGGUAAUACGUAGGUCCCGAGCGUUGUCCGGAUUUAUUGGGCGUAAAGCGAGCGCAGGCGGUUUGAUAAGUCUGAAGUUAAAGGCUGUGGCUCAACCAUAGUUCGCUUUGGAAACUGUCAAACUUGAGUGCAGAAGGGGAGAGUGGAAUUCCAUGUGUAGCGGUGAAAUGCGUAGAUAUAUGGAGGAACACCGGUGGCGAAAGCGGCUCUCUGGUCUGUAACUGACGCUGAGGCUCGAAAGCGUGGGGAGCGAACAGG
rnacentral:rRNA from 1 species